rnacentral:rRNA from 1 species
GGAAMYGUWUCGGAUUAUUGGGCGUAAGCGCGCGCAGGUGGUUUCUUAAGUCUGAUGUGAAAGCCCACGGCUAAAGAGGGGGGUCAUUGGAAACUGGGAGACUUGAGUGCAGAAGAGGAAAGUGGAAUUCCAUGUGUAGCGGUGAAAUGCGUAGAGAUAUGGAGGAACACCAGUGGCGAAGGCGACUUUCUGGUCUGUAACUGACACUGAGGCGCGAAAGCGUGGGGAGCAAACAGGAUUAGAUACCCUGGUAGUCCACGCCGUAAACGAUGAGUGCUAAGUGUUAGAGGGUUUCCGCCCUUUAGUGCUGAAGUUAACGCAUUAAGCACUCCGCCUGGGGAGUACGGCCGCAAGGCUGAAACUCAAAGGAAUUGACGG